rnacentral:misc_RNA from 1 species
GAAAUGCGAUACGUAAUGUGAAUUGCAAAUUCAGUGAAUCAUCGAGUCUUUGAACGCACAUUGCGCCCCCUGGUAUUCCGGGGGGCAUGCCUGUCCGAGCGUCAUUUCUGCCCUCAAGCACGGCUUGUGUGUUGGGCCCCGUCCUCCGAUCCCGGGGGACGGGCCCGAAAGGCAGCGGCGGCACCGCGUCCGGUCCUCGAGCGUAUGGGGCUUUGUCACCCGCUCUGUAGGCCCGGCCGGCGCUUGCCGAUCAACCCAAUUUUUUAUCCAGGUUGACCUCGGAUCAGGUAGGGAUACCCGCUGAACUUAAGC